GCAACGGAUCUCUUGGCUCUCGCAUCGAUGAAGAACGCAGCGAAUUGCGAUAAGUAAUGUGAAUUGCAGAUUUUCAGUGAAUCAUCGAAUCUUUGAACGCACCUUGCGCUCCUUGGUAUUCCGAGGAGCAUGCCUGUUUGAGUGUCAUG
rnacentral:rRNA from 2 species